AAAUACACGAUGAUCGGAAAAAGUAAACGUCGGUGUUGUCUUAAGAGAGAGCGGAUCGUGGCUGGAAAUUCGCUUGGCAACCAACGUUGAAGUGCCUCCCGGAGUGGUGCUGCAGAAGGUGAGUACGCAGCAACGGUAAAGUCCCGUUACGACGAUUGAGAUACAGCUAUCUGUAAAGCAGAGUGGAACCGCGUUUAAACGCCUCUGCA
rnacentral:ncRNA from 1 species